rnacentral:lncRNA from 1 species
CAUCUUGCCACCCUUAGGGUUCAAUGCUUUCUUUGAACCCUUAAAACCUGACUUUUUCUUAGAAAUUUUAUCCACAAGAAGAAGUUGAGCCAUUUUUUCCUUUAUAUGGCUCGCAGCUGUCUUGAGCAUGUUCAACAGCUUAGGCAAGGAGGUAUUUAAUUUGUUCAUGUGAUAGUUCACGACAAACUGAGCAAACGACUUGGAAAGAGAUUGUAG